rnacentral:rRNA from 1 species
GAUAAACGCUGGCGGCGUGCUUAACACAUGCAAGUCGAACGAAGUCUUUCUUUCGGGUGGCUCUUAGUGGCGGCCGGGUGCGUAACGCGUGGGUAACCUGCCCUGUAUAGGGGGACAACAGCUGGAAACGGCUGCUAAUACCGCAUAAGCCCUUUGCACUGCAUGGUGCAUAGCGAAAAGGUGCAAUCCGGUACAGGAUGGACCCGCGACUGAUUGGCCAGUUGGCAGGGUGACGGCCUACCACAGCGACGCUCAGUAGCCGAUCUGAGAGGAUGUACGGCGACAUUGGGACGGAGCCACGGCCCAGACUCCUACGGGAGGCAGCAGUGGGGAAUAUUGCACAAUGGAGGAAACUCUGAUGCAGCGACGCCGCGUGAGUGAAGAAGUAUGUCGGUACGUAAAGCUCUAUCAGCAGGAAAGAAAAUGACGGUACCUGACGAAGAAGCACCGGCUAAAUACGUG